rnacentral:lncRNA from 1 species
AAAGAGAUAAUCAGUUGUUUUGCGAUCAAUCAUAAUAAAGGUCCAAAAAAGAAAGUAGCAAAGGACCACACAACUUGUCAUGUGUCGAUACGCCUUGGAGUCGGGAGAUGGGUCCUCCCACUAGAGUUGGGAAUAUCAAACGAGGAGCUGACUAGACAAAACCCUUUUUAAAGGAACUGUUAUUAUUAUUGGGAUCCACCAUCACCUCUAUUAAGCCCAAUAAUCAAAACGUCAUUCUCUCUCGGGCCCUUGACAGCUGCCCGUGUACCCCGUUUGCCCUACCUUUUUUCUUCUACAU